GACGUAGGGGGCCAGCGUUGUUCGGAAUUACUGGGUGUAAAGGGUUCGUAGGCGGUGCGGCAAGUUGGGAGUGAAAUCUCUGGGCUCAACCCAGAGGCUGCUUCCAAAACUGCUGUGCUUGAGUGUGAGAGAGGCUCGUGGAAUUGCAGGUGUAGCGGUGAAAUGCGUAGAUAUCUGCAGGAACACCCGUGGCGAAAGCGGCGAGCUGGAUCACUACUGACGCUGAGGAACGAAAGCUAGGGGAGCAAACAGG
rnacentral:rRNA from 1 species